GCAGAGGAAAAGGUGAUCAAACCAGGGCCCUAAGAGGUGGGAGCUGAUGCUGGAAACAGUUCUCCUGGGUUGGAGUGGGGCUGUAGGACCUCUGCCUUCCAUGACAUAUAGACAAUACUGGGCUGAAAGCUGUCCUUGGAGGCACAUAUGCCACACUGGUGAUCAAUCAUGCCUGCACCCCAAACCCUCAUGCCACCCUUCCUCAUACACCUGCUGUCAUGACUGUGGCACUGUUGUCACCCCCACAGGGUCACUCUAGUCAGUCACCUAAACACGUUUGUGAAGGCCUUCUAGGGUAGCUGCACACACCAUCUCAGGACUCCAGGGCACACAGCCCCGGGACCUGGCUGCUGUUUGUCUCCAUUGGUCUUAGCCUGAUCCUUGGUCUGGCCAACUCAGCCCCACCAGGCUAUAGGUUAAGAUGGAAAAGGGGAGUCUGAAAAACACCAUAGGAACAGCCCGAGACUCAUCCCUAGGCCUACCGGGUCCCUUGGCCCAGGCUGUGGAGGAGGGCUGAGGCUCACAAUCCAUGCCCUGUCCAGGCCCCUACAGCUCUUGAUAACCCCUGGAAUUAUACAGAACCCCCUCAUGCCAAAAUGGGAGCUAUGCUUGAGCCCCUGAAGGGCUUUGUCUGUAGGGUCUCCUGAGGCCUGGGGUAGGUCUCCUUACUAGCUAUCUGAGGAGGAGGAGCGGGGAGUGGGGAAGGUGGGGAGGGAGGGCCUCUCCCAGGCCCCCAGGGCAGGCUGCUCCCUCCUCCACACAGCCUCCCUUUUAAGCACUUCCUGACUUGGCUCUGAACACCUUCUGCAGCCUCCUCCCCCGGCCUCAUUCUCUGCUCCAUCCCUUCCCAGCCUUCCUGCCCAUCCCUACCAUCCUACUUCCCUGGCAGGCCCCAAGGCAUCAGGCCCCAUCCUGGUCCCUGGGCCAGAUAUACCUAGGUGUGGCCAAGGACGAGGGCUGGGGUGCCACAUUCCUAGGAAAAAGCUCCUUGGCCUGUCACUAGAGCCCCAUUCCUUCCGAAUGCCUGCCGAAGGCUCUUUCAGGAGUGAGUCUAUUAAAAUGUGAAUCCCCCUGGGAGGGUUAUGGCUUAUCAGCUAACACCGUCAUUGACAGCUAACACCUGUGUUGACAGCUAACACCUUUCUUGGCAGCUAGCUAAGAGCAGGAUUCUGCAGACAGGAGGCCGAGGCUGGCUAACUGCUUGGAGGUGGGAAAAGACCAGGAGCCAGCCUUCCCUACCCAGCCUUGACCUCUGGGGACUGCUACUCCUCCACACUGGGCCCCUUACCACAAAGGGUCCCUGUAUGUGGUUCAUUUUGGUGCUCAACUCCGGAGCCCCACAGGCCAGGCAAGCCUAACAGCCCAGCAAGCUUUCAGGCUCUGGGAGCCCUCUUCUCACACUCAGUGACUUCGUUCAAGGAGCCUGGGUUUGCUGGGCCUGGGGUCAUUUGUUGGCAGUUACGGUGGCAAGUCAGGCCCAGGAGCCCCCAACCCAUGGAUGCCUGCCCCCUGCCCCGCCCAGGGCUGGCCAUGUGUGGGUUGCACUUGGGCCUGAGGCUCUGUCUAAGGAGGCUCUCACAUUCUCUUCUUACAUGCCCUCCCUGGGACACCCCUUGAUGCCUUAACUGCUGUCACAACAGGACACCAUACCAUGUGCAUAGCACUUCCUGGUUCUGACCUCAGAACCCAAGGCUGGAUAAGUUGGGGGCUUUCAUGCACCCAGGGCCAGGCUGGAGAUUUUACUAGCAUGGGUGCCUGGGGAGGGGGCACAUUAUCAGCCCUGCCAUGCCACAGACUGCCUAUUAUGCAGAACACCAUGCUGCCAACUGGACCUCACAUACACACCAAUCUCUGUGCCAUCCACCACACCAGUGAGUGGUAGACUGUAGCUCCCAGUCCUGAGGUUGCCCACUGAUAGCUCAGCUAGGGUCAGUGGGGGUCCAGGGCUGAGCCACAGUAGGGAGGUGGACAAUCGGAGGAGCCGCUAUGUGGUGCUCAGCCUUAACAGGCAGACGGGAAGACACAGCUGUGUUCCUGUUGGAAAUCAACUUCUAAGAGGCGGCCCUUCUCACUCACCCUGUCAGCACAGGGGCUGGGGUAGGCUCUUCUGCUGUAGCCACAGUAAUUGGCUCCAGGCCGGCCCCCCUUGGGGCCUGCCCGCUGGUCUCCAUGGCAACCCCUGCGCUGAGCAAGCAUGAGGGGGCAUCUUUUUAUGAGAUAAUCAAACCCAACUUUGCAGCAUAGCUUGUGUUCACAGCAGGGUUUUGGGGAAACACCGGACACCUGACCAGGCGGUAAGGAUGUUCCCUGACCCCACCCCAGGGCUGCCAUAUUCAGUCUCUGUCUGCCGCUUUGCAUGGCCUGCUUUGGCUCAUCCUUGUGGCUUCUGCAGUGCUUUGAGCCACAGGCCUCUGAACUUCAGGUCUGGACCCCUCCAUACUCUGUUUUCACUCCAAAACCUGCCCACAGAUUCUCACUGGAGACGGCCUUCCUUCUGGGGAGCAGCCUGGACCUCUUGCUCCCCUGAGGCCUCCACCUGCCACUCUCAACCGGUCUCUUUCAUGUUCCCACGGGCAGAAAGUGGUCCUGGGGGUCCAUCCCUCUCACAUGGAAUCCAUGCAGAGACCCCGAGGACCCUGCAGUCACUUCAGCAAGUCUUCCAAGCUAUGCACAAAGUGGGAUUUCUCCAGCUAUACCCAAGUCAAUUUUCAUCAGGCUUGUGAGUGGGUCUCCUCCAGGGCUUUUCCAUGGGGAACUCACUGGCUGUUGGAACUGGGUCAUGGCCAGUGGCUUAGCUCAGGUCAUCUAGGGAGCCACAGGGACAUGAGGUGAUCGUGGGAAAGAGCUGACAUUCUAGUGCACAUGGCUUGGAAAUUUCCCAGGGAGGGCAAUAACUAGAUACAGACCCUGGGGUCCUCCUCCACCUGGGGCAGCCUGAUCAGGCAGGAUACAGCCACUGGGCUACACCGGGCACUCGGCAUCCGCACUAACAGCUCUUUGGAGUCAAGAGCCCAGAAUCACACCCAUUGAAGAGGAAGGAGGGGGAUGGGAGAGAUGGAAGGAGAGGAAAGAGAACCAGGGAGGAAAUAGGAAGCAGAAAGAGGGCAGGGGCAGAGGGAAAGAAGCCAGGGCACCGGAGGAUAUGAAGAGGGAGAAUGGGAACGGGAGGGGCCAGGUGGGGUGGAGGCUUCUGGGGCCCUGCCCAGCAGCCACUUGAGCCAGCAGGCAGGCCUGCUGAGGUCAGCAGCUCACCUCAGCAGCCUGGUGAGCUGCUGGGCUGAGAGUGCCUGCUUUAGCACCUACCCAGCCCGCUGCGUCCCUGCAUUCUCUCCACCGCCACCCUAGCCUAGCCUGACAUCCCGUGGGGAUGUCCUCUUGUCCUCACCUGAUGAGGCGAACGAGAGUGUAGGCUGACAGCCUCACAGACUCAGGGCACUGACUUGUGUCCUUGGGUCCUGGUGUCUCUCUCAAUGACUACCCCCACAGACUUUGGAGGGAGCCGACCCGCUGGUCCGAAAGCCUCAAGUCAGUGCCACAGAGAAUCUCAUUCUCUUUCCAUCACCAUCAUCUAUUUACAGAUCAGGAAACCGAGGCAGUGAGUAGCGGAGCCCUGCUCCUACACGGAGGCAGUUCAAAAGGAAGAGGAGGUGAGGGUGAGGCAUGUGCACCUGGAGGGCUGUCAAGGAGAGCCCGGCCAGCUCAUGAAGGACAACUGCUAUGUGGCCAGGGCAGCCAGCGGGUGCUGGACUUCUGGCCUGCUGGAUAGGCCCGGCGGCACAGGGAUCUCCCGUGCUACCUACGGCUGGGAGGGUAUCUCCUCCGAUAGACUGAACCGGAGUCAGGAGGCUGUAGAAGGGGCUGCCUGCUGAGGCAGUGCAGAAGAGACCACAGUUACAAGGCAGAACAGCUCCGCAUACAAGACCAGAAAUAGCUCUGGGAGGGGGUGGAGGGACCGAUGUCAUCCCCACACUGCAGAGAAUCAAGACACCUUCUCUGGGCCCACUCCCCACAGCCCAUCCCUCCUGACCCAUCCGUACCCUGUCUUCACUCAUUUCUCACACACACACACACUGCCCACCUUCCACCCACCCUUGGGCCCACAGACACGUGCAGUGACAGCUUGCAUUCACACUGUGCUUUCUGGGGCAAGAAGAUGGCAGCAGCUUCCACAGAGGAAGGCCACCCUGUGUCUCUGGGGGUGUGGUCACCAGCAUCUGCUGCCCUGUCCUGGUCCCUUGAGGCCUUGUUUCUUAUUGAUCUUGACUAUAGAGCAAAACAGGCAGGCCAGGUCGAUAUUGGUAAGGUCACUUACUACGGCCGGCAGAUACAAGACUCAAGUUGACGUGCCCCAUUGGGGAAACUGAGGCCUGGCAUGUGUUCUGGCUGCUGGACGCCAUGUUGCAACUGGAGCAGAGCUGUUGGAAAUGGUCUUUGACUGCGUCAGGUUAUCCUCUUGUCACCAGAGAACUCAGAGAAAUUCACCUGCCUCUGCCUCCUGAGUGCUGCAGUUAAGGGCAUGCACCACCAUGCCCGGCCCUUUCCGUUUUAUUGUUGAGACACAGGGACAUGAAGCUGCCCAAGCUGUCUUUUAACUUGUGAUACUCUUAUUUCAGCCUCCCAAGUAGCUGGGAUUACAGGUGUGUGCUGCCCAUCUCUUCUAGGAAUUCAUUUUUGGUCCCACUUCCAUUACCUAAAGGGCUCCAGAGCCUUACCAGGUUCAGCAAUAUAUUCUACCCUGAUUCUCUCCUCCCAGACCCCGCCCUGUGAACUCUGCUCUGCGGGCCGAUGGUGCCAAGCAUCUGGAGGUUCUGCCUGGCUGAAGCCCACCGAACCUGGAGACUUCAGUGUCCCCUCCCCAACGAGAGGCUAGUGGCCCCCAUCAGGUGGCCAGCAAAUACCUGCUGCCUAAUUACCUGCUUCCCACCCCAGGCCGUUGUGGUCCUGCUGCUAAUUCAAUCCAUCUUCCAGUCCAGACUUCAGUCCCCAGGACACUAAUGAGCAACCAACCAAUGACUGGCAUAUCCCUACCAUAGGUAUCCUAUGAAGGAGACCUCCUUAGGCCAUAGUCUAAGCCCCAGGACUGCCACAUAAAUGCCCCUACCCCCUCCUGCCCGUCUGAUGCUGCCCUGGAUGGAGUGCUUAGCCUGGCAGGUCUAUAGUUCUGCCUUCUGUGCCUCAUAUCUACUUCCAGGACAAGCAUCCCAGACUGAGCCCUGGGUCUCCCACCCUAUCCCCAAAUCCGCUGUUGACCUGUGAGGCCUGGAGUGUCAGCAUGUGGGGUAAACACGAGACUUGGGGUGCACGUGGUAGUUAUAUAUACUUGGCCUCAACUGGAAGAUAAGAACAUAUGCUAGAGGACACCCAGUAAGGGUGGGGAGGGCAGACACAGAAAUGUGUUGUUAGUACACGUGGUAUGCAAAACAGGAUGAAUGUAUUACAGAAGUCAGUAUCCUUUGGGCACGGGGCAAACGUGAGUUGGUACAAGGGGGCUGUGCAGACCUUGGGACCUAGAGGAGGGUCUGCUGCCCGCAGCGAGAGGAAGUAGACGACACCUCCCCACAUGUUCUUGCAUUUGUAAAACAUGAUCCACCAAGCACGGAGGUGGCCUCUGCCCAGGCCAAACUUACUUUGCCAUAAAAAAAAAAAUAGUAUGUGCGGGUCUUGAGGCCAUGGUCAGCUUGCAGCCUCUGGGACCCACCUACUGUGCCUCUUGGCCACUCAUCAGGAGGGAAGCAGGCAGACAGGACCCACUGGAGAAGGUCAGUUAAUAGAGCCUCUGCACACACCUGCUAAGCUGGGCUGCCCGAGCCUCCAGAGAGCCCUGUCACAGAGGCAGUGGCCGCAGCAGGGCAGGCAGGCAGGGCCAGUGGGAACAAGUAUGCCAAGAAGGGGCAUACAACCCCUUCAGCUAGAUGCUCCCAUUGGAAUUACCCUCCAAGGCCAGAGCACUGAGUCCAUGGAGCUAGAAGAAAGGCUGAGGGGCCCCGGACAACCUGGCCCAAGAGCUGGCUGUUACAUUAGGAAUAGGGUGAUUUUUGGCAAGCAGCCACAUUUAUGUGUUCACCCACGAUCCAUGGCUGCUUUCGGUCCACUAAUGCUGGCACAAUGCAUGGUGUGGCCCACAAUGCUGGGCCCUCCUACAGGAAGUUUGCUAAUCUGCUUUGUGGCUGAACAUCUACUGUGUGCAGCCAAGGCUACGCAACCUCCUGACUAAGGAAAAGGAACCCGAGGGUCAAAGAAGACCAUUUACUGUUCCCGCCAAACACACGUGGCUGGGCAGGCCAAGCCCAGUGGUCUCUCACCUUAGUGUAGGGUUAGCUCAGAGGAACACUGGAAGGAUUGGAGGUCGAGUGUGAAAGGGAAGUAGUGAAUACCGAAAUUCUGUUUGGGUCAUGGAAAAUCAAAAAUCUUGCUGAAGACACUGUCAGGAGGCAAGAAAUUGAGCAUGCAUAACAGAACACAACUUGGAAAUCAAACAGGGAAGCUGAAGCAGGAUGUCAGAGUCUAGCCUUGGCUAACAGACAUUCACAGUUAAGAACAAAGGACUUGUUAUGGGUGAGAAUACUUAGCUCAGAAAAGGUGAACGCAGUACUUUUUGAUAAACAGGAAGGUCUGGACCACUUCUGAUGACCUCAGAACCAGCUACUUAUGCAGACCCAUGGCCAGGGUCACAAACUGAAAGUGGGCAUCUCCGUCAUCAUCACUAACACUAUUGUCACAUCACCACCAUCAUCACUAGGACUGUCACCAUCACCAUCAGCCGUCAUUAACGUCGUAAUCACCAUCAUCACUGUGCCCAGUCAUCGCUGUCAUUACCACACCACCAUCAUCAUCAUCAUCAUGGUGUGAGUCAGCUUUCUGUCACUGUCACAAAAUCUGAGUCCACUUUUUAGGGAGGUCAGGUUUAUUUUGGUUCACGGUUUUGGAGGUUUGGGCCCAUGGCAAGGCAGAGCAUGGCAGAUGUGCACAGCAGGGGAGUUGCUCAUUUCAUGGAAUCCAGGAAACAAAAAGAGAAAGAACGAGAAGGGGAUGGGGCCUUACAUGCUUUCAAGGGCACACACUCAGGAACUUAACUUCUUCCCCUAGAGCCAAUCUUCUAAAGAGUUUACCACUUCCCACCAUGGACUGGGGCCAGGCGUUCAGUACAAGAACCUCUGGAGGACAUUCAGGAUCCAGAAGGUAGAAAUCAGCACCAUCAUCACCACCAUCAUCACCAUCAGCACCACUAUCACCAUCAUCAUCAUCAUCAUCAUCAAUCAGCACCACCAUCACCACCAUCACCAUCACCAUCACCAUCACCAUCAUCAGUCAGCACCACCAUCACCACCAUCAGCACCACCAUCACCACCAUCAGCACCACUACCACCAUCAUCAUCAUCAAUCAGCACCACCAUCACCACCAUCAGCACUACUAUUACCAUCACUACCAUCAUCAUCACCAUCAGCACCACCAUCACCACCACUACCAUCAUUAUCAUCAUCAUCAUCACCAUCAGCACCACCAUCACCACCAUCAGCACCACUAUCACCAUCAUCAUCAUCACUAUCACCACCAUCAGCACCACCACCACCAUCACCAUCACCAUCAGCACUAUAAGCUCUAUACCAGCUUCAAGCAAAGAUUUUGGAUGGAAAACACAGAGAUAAGCUUGGAGCACACGUGGAGAGCAGCCAGCUUCACACAAAGGCAGGGAAUCACAGGUCAGUGAGCAAUGGCCUUGUCCCAAGGAGGUUCCAUUCCAGCACCAGAGGUCUGAAGCCAUUCAGGAGUGUCUUGGGUGAGCAGCUGUUUGCUAGGGAGGCACUGUCACGGCCACCAUAACUUCAGCCUCACUGGAGACUCAGUAGCAAGGCAGAACAGAGGACAGAUGAAGGGAAGAAGGGAACAUUCCUGGACAGCUCCCUGCUGAGGGUUUUGUGGCCUCCCUACGGUAUAACUCCCAUGUGGUGGUUUGAACGAGAAUGGCCCACAUAGGCUCAUAUAUUUGAAUGUUGGUCACCAGAGAGUGGCACUAUAUUAUUAGAAGGACUAGGAGGUGUGGCCUUGUCGGAGGAAGUGUGGCACUGGGGGUGGACUUUGGGGUUUCAAAAGCCCAACCCAGGCCCAGUCUCUCUCUCUCUGGGAAUCAGGAUGCAGCUCUCAGAUACUUCUCCAGCACCAGGCCUGCAUGCUGCCAUGCUCCCUGCCGUGAUGACAAUGGACUAAGCCUCUGAAACUGUUAGCAAGUCCCCAAUUAAAUGCUUUUUUUUAAAAAAAAAAAAAAAUACAAGUUGCCUUGGUCAUGGUGUCUUUUCACAGGACUAGAACAGUGACCAAGACAUUGCACAGUGAGCAGGUGAUCAUUGCUUCUACUCCAUACAUAAAGGCCCUGAGGCACGGCAAAACCCAAUAGGGUACCAGUGAGGCCAGGGGACUAGGCACAUAAUUUGUGCCCCAGGAUCCCUGCAGCCUUACCCAAGCCCCAGGGAUCACAGGGCAGGAACGGAUAGCUACUCUGGCCUUCUUGAUCCCCUGCAGCAGGCCCCUCUUAGGCCAAGCCUUGUUCCUUGGGCUGGCUGAGGGUUGAGGCUCAGAUGUAGGCUCCACCCACGGGAGUAGCUGAAUAGCUGGGGAAGAGGCCAGGCCCCUAAGUCUGUCACCACACCAGCAAUGUGAGAAUCAUGCUGGGCCAGCACCACCUCUCCAGGACCCAGCACUGCCUCUAGCCUGGAAUCCCCACUGGGGUGUCCCUAGCGAGGUCUGGGCUGGCGCUAGUGUCCUGUCUCCCCAGAAGUUAGCCUAGGGUCUGACACCCAAGAUGGGUGCAGCCAGCCUGUAUGUCUGGCCUGGGUCACUGUGAUUCAGGUGAGGAGCUGGAAAAGGUGAGUCACAGUUCAACACAGGUGCGUCCUGGAGCCACAGAACCUCCCUGGCUUGGCCUGACUGUUUCGUCCCUGCUCUGCGCAGAGAAUGCUGUGUCUGUAGCGAAGGAUAGUCCGGUAGCUAGGCUGUGCCUGACACACACCUGGAGCUGUGUGUCCUGCCCUCUCUACAGUCAUCUCAGCAGGUUUGUGUCCUGCACAGCCUGCCACACUUUCCAGGAGACCGGAACUCAGGCAGCAUCAGCUGCUGCUCCUUCAUCACCAGGGACCACUGUUCUCUCUGCUCUGCCCAACCAUCACCACAUAGGAGACUCAGUGAGCCAGAUACAGACACUGUCCACUCCCCUCCAGAAUGACAGUGACUGAGGAGCAUGCCCCAUGGAGAGUAGGGAGGAGAGAAACAUCCAGAGAGAGGGACUCUACUCUUAGUACAUGGGAAGCCCAGGGCAGCUCCUGCUUGAUGGUUCGGGACCCGCCAGCUGACAUGCGCCAUCUCAGCAGAACCCUGAACCCGCUGCCCCCGAAAAGGUGACCAGCAGCCAUCACACAUGUGGAAAAGGCACCAGUGCAGACACCAAAGGAAGUCAUUCAAGAAGCGGCAGAUGGAGGGUCACGAACAGCCAGAAAUUAGGGGGAAAUUCUAAUCAGUGCACCCAGGGAUAGAAGUGGAUUUCAAACAAGAGCAGGGUGCUGUGACCAAGGAGUCACCAGAGAACAAGAAAGAGUGUCUAGAAAUUAAAAAUAGAAUUGCUAAAAUUAAAAGAAUCAAUAGAAGGGUUGGAAAACAAGGUCAAGAAAAUCUUCCAGAAAGAAAAACAAAAAGAAAAACUGAAUGAGAUUCAGUGGGAAAAUAUAGGUCGAAUGUGUUUUAGGGCAAUUCUAGGAAGGGAAACCAGCAAAUGGAGGAGAAAAAAGUUACCCAAGAAAUAAUACCAGAAAAUUUCCUAGAGCCAAGGACCUGGACUUUCACCGGGCAUUUACAGCAAACUUCAGGCUCCUGGGGACUCAGGGAAGCUUGAGUCCAGGAGGAAAAGCCGGUCACAAGUAAUGCAAGGUGGCCCCAGAGCUCCCCAGAGCACCCUGGUGCCAGGCAACUGCAAUGCUGCAAGAGUCCGAAGCAACGCUUUUCAAACACGGAACUCUGGCCCCAGCCAGAAUUGGACACAUUUGCGAACAUGCUUCCCAUGAAAGAAGAAAGUCAUGGAGCCGCAGGGCAAGGGCCUAGGAUGGGACCCCAGGGGACGCGGGGGGGGGGGGGGGGAUGAAAGACCCAAUGAAGAGCUCGCUCUCUUAGAUGGGGCAAGAGGAGAAACAAAAACCAAGUCAACUGCACCUGAGGAACAAAGAAGUACACGCCAAAGAGAAGAGGAAGUGCAUCUUCCUGAUCAGAGUCAAACAUGGGUUAGGAAGAAGAGCUGGAGGGGCAUAGAGCACAGGGCGUGCCAUUCACUGGUGCAGGCCAAGGGUGGCCGAGAAUGUACCUGGGUCUCUGAUCCACUCUACAUUCUCUGUUAAUUCAGACGCUUGCAGGGAUGCUCACAAGUUCACCUCUGCAGCCUCUCCUUCAGCCAACCCAGAGGUCCCUCCACAUCCACUGUGCUCUGGUUCUAUCACCGUGACCAACCCCCACACAGACACUUCUUGCUGUCACAGUGCUACCUCCCUGUUCGGGCUUUGGUCUCCAUCUCAGGCUGUUGUGGGGAGUGGGGAGGUAGUUGAAAGUCAGCAAGGGCCAUCUUGUAUUGGAAGUAGGACUACAGCCACUAGGCCUCAGCCCGAGCCUCAGCUUCUCUAUUUUCCCAAUCCUAAACCUGCAACAAAGCCCACAGCACACAGACAGGGGCAAUGUGAAUAAGUAAUUGCUCUUUUAUUAACGAGUGAUAAAUUAUUCCUAUAUGAUUGUGUGUGAUAACGCUUGCUUAUUUGAAAUCAAUUUGGAAUGGAAAUUGUUGGCGGCUUCUCACCUGCGCGGGUGGAAGCCAGGCACUCUUGCCUCCUACAGAAAAGGAGGUCACUGUAUUUUGGCUACAUCCUGAUGCUGCUGCAUUUAGGGUGCUGUGUCAGGCAUCAGGCGGAAGGGUAGUGGCCCUGGGGCUGUGAAGCCAGGGAGACCGGGUACCUCUAACCUCACUUCUGGGCAGCACCUCUCUCCAGGGUGCUACAUAGGUCAGCUCAGACUCGCAGGGUGGCUUUCCUGAGGCCCACAUCUGCAGCUCUAAAAAGUGCAAAGCUCUGCUGGUGAAGUGCAAAUGUGAGGACCCGAGGUAGGACCCCCAGCACCCACAGAAUAGCCAGACAUGGUAGUGUGAACCUGCAAUUCCAGUACUGGGAAGACAGGGACUGGAGGGCCCCUGGAGCUCACUGGCCAGCAAGUCUAGACAAAUUAGCACGUUCUAGGUUUGUUGAGACCCUGUCUAAAAAGUAAGGUGAAAAGAUCCCCAUAACUAGUCCAGGACCCAGACUCCCUUUGGGCUGAGGAAGGACCAGGUUGGGAGAGUCCCCUCCCCAACUGGCCCUAAGCCCUACUGGGGACCACUCCAGUGACCAUGGCCAGCAGUGCCAGGGGCCAUUCCCAGAUCUAGCUGUAUACAUCUCUCCCAUAUAAUCCUUGGGGAUCUGGGAGCCCUAACUGCCGCCUCACACAGGUCACACCCAGUGCCCACUGUCCAGCUCCGGCACUGCCUGGGCCACUUACAGCUCUCAUUAUUAAGCCUCAAAAACCACUUACCUUUUUCCUGGUCAUAGUCCUAAUGAUUCCACAAAACACGGCUCCAUUCUGUUCCCUCCCAGGAGCACGAUGCUAGAGGGUCGGAGGGCUCAGCCUCUGACGCUCCUCUUCCAACACAGGGAGGCCCCGAAACAUCUCCUACUUUAGCACCUCUUCUUGGGGAUGCAUAUUUACAACUCAGCAUCCAACAAGCCAACCACAUCUUCCCUCCACCCGGGCCCCACCCACUCCUUAGCUGUUUUGGGGGUGGCUGCAGCAGGCACCAAGUGAUCAUGACUUGGCCAGUAGGUGUCAGGGGGUUAGUCCCAGUUCUGGCUGCACUCAUCUUUCCCAUGUGACUGUUGAGGAUUUGGAAGGCAGCGGUGAGACUCGGUCACCCUUAAGUACAGCUACACGGGCCAGCUCAGUCAUCACUGAUGCCUCCUGAGCCUGGGUUUCUUAUCUGCGAGGCAGGAGAGCUGGUCCCAACCUUCCAUCCAAUGCCAAGGUUCCCACUUGGCCGCACAGGCUGGCACAGAGACUGGACAGAGACCUAGCUAGCCUCUGUGCACCUUGUUUCUGUCCCUGGGCCCUGGGGGCACCACGGAGGUAGAACCAUGGCUGUGACAGGCGAACGGCAGGAACGCUAUAUAUGUUUGGCACAUGCGACCACAUGCUCACUCUAGCAAGUGGCAGACUUUGGGUAGCUGUAGAGAUGGCAUCCCCCAAGGAUGGCCAGGGCUGGAGGGGUACUGAUCAUCUCCUGACUGGGGGAGGCUUGUGCACCCAAGUGCUGAGGUUCUGAGUGGCCCUCACAAGUGGCUUCCCUUAUGUGAUGGACAGAUGUUUGUAUUGUCCCUCCCACCACUGCUUUUUUUUGGAGAUAUUGUCUUGCACUGCUGGACAAGUUAGUCUAGAAUUUACUGUGUACCCCAGGCUGGCCUCAAACUCAUGGAGAGUCCCUGCCUCAGCCUUCCAAGUAGUAGGAUUACAAUAUGAGCUACAGUGCUCAGCUUCCCCCAAAAACAUAUGCUGAAGUCCCAACCCCCAAUGUGACUUAUUAUUUGUUUGUUUCUCUAUUUAUUUUGAGAGCACCAGAGGCCUAGGAUCUCGGACGUUUUGUGUUGGGCUUCGGGGAGGGAACAGAAUGGAGCCAUGUUUUGUGGAAUCAUUAGGACCAUGAUCAGGAAAAAAGUAAGUGGUUUUUGAGAUUUGGUAGUGAGAGCUAUGAGAGGCCUGAGCUGGGCACUGGGUGUGACCUGUAUGAGGUGACAUCCUAGAAUAGUCUGGGUCCCUUUAUUUUAUUUUCCUUUUUGAAAUGUUUAUGUUUAUGGGUAUUUUACCUACAUGUAUGUCUGUGUACCACGUGGAUGUAGUGCCCCUAGAGGCUGGAAGAGGGCGUCAGAUCUCCUGGGACCAGAGUUACAAAUGGUUAUAAGAUGCCAUGCGGGUGGGAACCCAAAUGUGGGUCCUCUGGAAGGGCAGCCCGUGAGCAUCUUUCCAGCCCCAGCCUGGAACUCCUUCUGCCUUGGUCAAAUGCUGAUGCUUUAGGAGUGUAACCAGUGUAACCUACCCGAUAUGAUGGUAUUUGAAGGGGUUAGUGGGGAGGUGGCUAGGAUUGACACCUCAAGAUAAGGUCUGAAGGGUGAGGCAUUGAGAUGGAUCAGUGGCCUAGCAGAGACUCCAGAGAGGCCAUUUCCUACAGCAAGAAAACCAUCUGCCCGCCAGAAACAAGUAGCUCACUGGAAUCUGACUGCGUUGACACUGAUCUUGGAGUCCUAGCCUCUAGAACUGAGAAAAUUAAUUUCUCCCAUUUGUGAUGCCCAGUUCACGGUAUUUUGCUACGGCAGUAUGAGAUAAUACAACCUCCUUCUCAAAACUUUGGAGUUUCUUUUCAGGUUUUCAGCCAUGAGUAUAAUCUGGUAAAAUCCAAAAUCUGGCGUGUUUCUGUUUGGGCUGUCCUGAGGUCCCUGCACACCACAGUCAAUCUUGUAGGGCAGCCCUGCGUUUAUCAGGGUUUGGGAGUCCUGGGUCCACUUGUGUAUGUGUGUGGGGGAAGGGGCAGGCUGAGGUGGGGUCCCCAACCUCUAAGUUUAUUCUUUCAUCUGGAAAUAGAGGUCAGGAAACCUACCUGGUUCAUACAGGCAGGGCAGGUGCACUGUGACUGCAUAAGAGAUGCCCAGCUCACAAGCUCAGAACUGCCAGAGGCACUUGGCCUCUCUCUGAGGAACUGUCCUCACCCUUUGGAGGCAAAGCCCAGUCCUGCCCUUUCCUCACCUCCUGCAGGCCUUUGUUCAAGCAACUCCUCCUUGGGCAAGCCUACCUUGUCCCCAGGCCCAUGGCCUCAAGGAGGCUCUUCUCGCCUGAACUCCACCCACCUCUUUAAGGAGGCUGGAUCCGAUCCGCCCUCCGGACACUCCUGGCCUUGUUCCCGCCCACCUUCAGACCUACAAGGCUUCUGUGGAGCCCUCUGGAGUCAGUGCCCACAAGCUCUAUCCAUGGGGCACUAGGGUCCUGGACAUCCUGACCACAGCAGGUCUCCACGUCAGAUGUUCCCAGGCAAGGCAAGGACAGUGAACAUCCACAACCCGGCCAGAACUGAGGCCCUGGGCUGAGAGCCUCUCCCUCUCUAUCUGCCACCUCAGAACCACAGGUAGCAAAUCCUGCCCUCCCAAGGGCUGCUGUCACAGCUGAUAAAGAUGGUCCUAUGACCUAAGGGUCUGGAGAUCCCUGGGAAUUCAUCUCCUGAGGCUUUGGGUCUUGGUAGCUGUCUUGGGGUGGGGAGUGUUUAGCCAGAGGGGGACCAGGCUGGUUGUGGAGAUGCUGGGACCGGGGACUGCCCCUGGAGUUGCUGGCUGUGACUGAGGCCCUAUGGGAUGAGUGGGAACGGAGUAGUCUUCAGUGUUAGGAAGGGCUCGGAAGAGGUCUGAUGCCCCCCACCCACCCACCCAGCCACCCACCCAGCCACCUCGUAGCCAGGCCGUGGCUCUGGCAGCAGGUGAAGAAUGGAGCGUAUUAGGGCCACCAUCUGUCUCGGCUGUGAUGGGCUCUCUCUACUGACAUCCAGGAGCUAUGUAGAUGGAAUAUCUUUAUGGGAAGAGUUUUUCUUUUGCCAAUUUUCGAACAGGAAGCCAGACACUUGUCACACCUGUCCUCGUGUCAGCCUCUGCCUGACAUAAAUUGGGGCCGAGGCAGGGAGAUGAAAGACAGCCUGGACACGGCCCAGUGUGCAGAGACCACGUGUCAGGCCACAGAACACACAGCCACGAGGGUGUCCUGCUGGGGCUCGGUGCAGUGAGUUCCUCCUGCCUCCUCCCUUCCCCUGCCCAAAGGCCAGCCUGCUCUGGCACCCCUGCCUCCCACAGAGCAGGGAGAUGCUCUGACACAGCCAGCCCCCCUCCCCGGCCCAGGCUCCAGUUCCACUGGAGGGGAGGACCCCACACAGAGGGCAGGCCUCAGGGCCCCCGUCCGCUCUGUUGGCACCCACACUACACCUUUCUCUCUUUGAGAUUUGAGGACAUCUCUUUGGAACCUGGGACGGCUUGGGGAGAAAAGAUGUUACAAAGAUCUCCAGGUCUCCAUGGCCCAGCACAGGGCUGGCCUGUAACUGGUGACGCCAGAAGACUUCGGUGAGAGAAAGGAGGGAAAGGCCAAUGCCACCGGAGGCCUUCCUGCAACGGGAGCCACCCAGAGCCCCGCCUCCAUGUGGGCAGCCCACGGCCCAUCAGCUUUACCAAGGGCAGGGCCCUCCCAGAGGCACACCCAGGACCACAGCUGUCACGGACAUGCAGCCACAGUUUUGGGGUCCACUGCCAGGACUUCUUCCAAGGACCGAGUAGGCACACAAGCAGCCCCUCUCACGGGCUGCCAGCUGAGUGGAGAUAGGAAAGUCUCCAGAUAAAGGAGAUGCUACUCCUGGGUCAGCCAGGCUCUUGUGGCCAGGCUCCUGCCCAGCGGCAGAGCUGUGCCUCACGUUUCUCAAAGGUAUGAAGACACCCCCCACCCCGAUCCCUGACAGAGAUCCUAGCUUCUCUCUGCAUUCCCCAGCUGCUGCUGGGCCUGCCUGGGGCGUGUGUGUACCCCACCCUCACCCCACCAUGCCCUCUCUUCCCAGUGACCAUGAACUAGAGCAUCACUCCCCCAAGACAACUGGUGAGGACACUCUUGGCAGACAAGGGGGGAGGGUUGUGGGGGGUUGCUCCAGACAUGGGCUCUUCCUGCACCCUCAGUGCUAUGCACAGGCUUGUGAUCAGGAGCUCACAGGGCGCACACACCUAUUCCCACUUUCUGUUUAGGGGUGGGGCAAGGGUAGGUGGGACUGACCAAGAGUCGGAGGAAGUACAGGAAUUGGGGGCUCUGUCUCCCACCAAGGGCUCCAAAGCUAUCACCAACCUGUUUCCACAGCCAGUACCUCAGUCUAUGCGGGAGGUACAGGAGUGUGGCAGCCUGCUGGGAGGAGUCCCAUCACCCGGAUGACCAGGAACUGGCCAGCAUGGCCAAAUCAAACUCCCUGUAGCCAGCUGGCUUUCAUCAGCAUGUCCACCUUCACACUAUCCGCAUGCCAACAGGGAGGCUCAGGAGCCAGCAUCCGCCUUUGGGUUCUGGAGCCUUCACCUGCAGCCAUCUUGGCCAACCAGGCUGCCCUUGACUGCCAGUCCUGAGAGCCACCAGCUUGGGUAUUUCCCAGCAGACAUAGGGGCAAGCAGGUGGCUGGGAGGAAUGUUCCUCUUUGCUGACACCCAGCAGCCUACUGGACCUCCCUCUGCAGCUCUUUGCUGGGGUGACUGCCCACUGCUCAUGCCCCCCAAACCCUCAUGCCAGGGUGGGCUGCUUGGAGGAUGUGGAGGUGGGGAGGCAGGCACCUGGAACCCCGGUGACAAGAAGGUCCCCAUCAAAGGGCGGAAGAGACAGUUCCCACACAAGAUCUUCUGGCCCACCCUGAGAGCAAAUGAGUUUUAGGGGCAGCUAGCAGAGACUUUAGGUAGGCUCAGAGGGCACACGGCAAGCAGAGAGCCCGGGGUGGAAUGGAGAGCAUCUGUGCCUACAGGCCGGGGGGGGGGGGGGGGGGGGCUCUGAGAUGGACUUGCAGUGAGGGCUAGAAGGGAAAUAAGGCAAGAGGUCAGACUGGACACUGGCCUUGUCUUUGGGGAGGAGGAGGAGGAGGAGGAGGAGGAGGAGGAGGAGGAGGAGGCACAGACUCUGGGCUCGGAUGUUGGGUGCAGAGGAUGUGACACCAUCUGGCUGAGUCUGGGCAACUGUGGUAUCAGUUGGGGGGCAUCUGGGUAUCAGCAAAGAUGAGUGGCCUCACUGGUGUGAGUAAGUGCCUGGGUGCCUGUUCACCCCUGCACCCCCUAGGAGAUGCUCAAGCCGGUGACCCUAAGGGGUAGCCUAUCUGGCUAAGAUGGGUGCGGGCUGAGUGGUCUUGGGCACUACAGACCUCUAAUUGGCCGCACUAGCCUGGUACUUGGCAUGGAGGCAGGUUUUGUGCACUAACUACUGCCAGGCCAGGUUGAGCUGGACACGGGGUGGGGACGGGGCACAUAAGGGUAGGGGCUGUGAUUCCCAGACGCCGUCACCUCUUUUCUGCUUUCCAUCCAUGUUUCAGUCUUUCUUGUGUAGCUAGUGUGCAGGGCCUGCUCCUGGCCCAGCUGCUGAGUGAUGCCACCGCCAUCUCCCCCAGAGAACAGCACUCCUAGUAUUGAGGAGGACUCUGUGUUUUCCUGGUCCUCGGGGCACCAAGCUGGAAGGACCACUCUGGUAAACAGCCACAGACUACAGAUGACACCUAAGUGACCAGCAGAGUGGUGAGGCCCAAGGUGACACAGCAAGGCAGCACCGCAGGAGCUGAUCCUAAGGCUGCCGGACUCGGAGGAAGGGGAACUCCUGGCAGGUUCCCAAGCUGGCCCCAUCUGGGCCCUGGCAGGAGGGUGAAUAAAGCCAGCGUCCUAACAAGGUCACAACCGUUGGGACAAAUCGAGGACACAGUGUAGGGGAUUGCAGGCAGGUCAGGGACAAUCUGAGAGGGCUCCCAGGAGGCAGUGAGCCUAGAGCCUCACUCUGGUCUGAGACCCUGGGCACUCUAACAUGUUCAGCCCCACCCCCUACCUCAGUGGGCCCCUCACCCAGCUCCAGCUUUUGCCUGACAUUUCCCGUGACAUUUGCUGCAAAGAAAUAGAGUCAUAAAUUCAAAGGUUAAAUUUGCA